rnacentral:rRNA from 1 species
CCUACGUGGUGCAGCAGUGGGGAAUAUUGGACAAUGGGCGAAAGCCUGAUCCAGCCAUGCCGCGUGUGUGAAGAAGGCCUUCGGGUUGUAAAGCACUUUCAGUGGGGAAGAAAGCCUUGGGGCUAAUACCCUCGAGGAAGGACAUCACCCACAGAAGAAGCACCGGCUAACUCCGUGCCAGCAGCCGCGGUAAUACGGAGGGUGCGAGCGUUAAUCGGAAUUACUGGGCGUAAAGUGCGCGUAGGCGGUCUGAUAAGCCGGUUGUGAAAGCCCCGGGCUCAACCUGGGAACGGCAUCCGGAACUGUCAGGCUAGAGUGCAGGAGAGGAAGGUAGAAUUCCCGGUGUAGCGGUGAAAUGCGUAGAGAUCGGGAGGAAUACCAGUGGCGAAGGCGGCCUUCUGGACUGACACUGACGCUGAGGUGCGAAAGCGUGGGUAGCAAACAGGAUUAGAUACCCGUGUAGUC